rnacentral:tRNA from 1 species
AAGGCUAUGGCUCAAUGGUAGAGUGCCUGCCUAUCAUGCAGAAGACCCUGAGUUUGCUCUGCAGCAUUG